CCUACGGGAGACAGCAGUGAGGAAUAUUGGUCAAUGGACGAGAGUCUGAACCAGCCAAGUAGCGUGAAGGAUGACUGCCCUAUGGGUUGUAAACUUCUUUUAUAUGGGAAUAAAACGUUCCACGUGUGGGAUUUUGUAUGUACCAUAUGAAUAAGGAUCGGCUAACUCCGUGCCAGCAGCCGCGGUAAUACGGAGGAUCCGAGCGUUAUCCGGAUUUAUUGGGUUUAACGGGAGCGUAGGUGGAUUGUUAAGUCAGUUGUGAAAGUUUGCGGCUCAACCGUAAAAUUGCAGUUGAAACUGGCAGUCUUGAGUACAGUAGAGGUGGGCGGAAUUCGUGGUGUAGCGGUGAAAUGCUUAGAUAUCACGAAGAACUCCGAUUGCGAAGGCAGUUCACUGGACUGCAACUGACACUGAGGCUCGAAAGUGUGGGUAUCAAACAGGAUUAGAUACCCUGGUAGUC
rnacentral:rRNA from 1 species